GCAGUGGUAGCUCAGCGGUAGAGCGUGGGAUUGCAGUGUCACACCGUUGCAGUCAUCCUAAGGUCCCGUGUUCGAUCCACGGUCGCUGCU